rnacentral:rRNA from 1 species
ACGGCUCAGUAACACGUGGACAAUCUAACCUAUGGAGAGGGAUAAUCCCGGGAAACUGGGGCUAAUACCUCAUAGACUAUGAAUGCUGGAAUGCUUCGUAGUUCAAAGGUCCGCCGCCAUAGGAUGGGUCUGCGGCCGAUUAGGUAGUUGUUGGGGUAACGGCCCAACAAGCCUGUAAUCGGUACGGGUUGUGGGAGCAAGAGCCCGGAGAUGGAUUCUGAGACACGAAUCCAGGCCCUACGGGGCGCAGCAGGCGCGAAAACUUUACAAUGCGGGAAACCGUGAUAAGGGAACUCCGAGUGCCCGUUAAAUCGGGCUGUCCAUCAGUUUAAAAAACUGGUGAAGAAAGGGCCGGGCAAGACCGGUGCCAGCCGCCGCGGUAAUACCGGCGGCUCGAGUGGUGGCCACUAUUACUGGGCUUAAAGCGUUCGUAGCUGGUUUGUUAAGUCUCUGGGGAAAUCUUCCGGCUUAACCGGAAGGCGUCUCAGGGAUACUGGCAGACUAGGGACCGGAAGAGGUGAGGGGUACUCCAGGGGUAGGAGUGAAAUCCUGUAAUCCUUGGGGGACCACCUGUGGCGAAGGCGCCUCACCAGGACGGCUCCGACAGUGAGGGACGAAAGCUGGGGGAGCAAACCGGAUUAGAUACCCGGGUAGUCCCAGCCGUAAACGAUGUGCGUUAGGUGUAUCGGUGACCACGAGUCACCGAGGUGCCGAAGAGAAAUCGUGAAACGUACCGCCUGGGAAGUACGGUCGCAAGGCUGAAACUUAAAGGAAUUGGCGGGGGAGCAC